UCCCACAAAUCUCACCCCCACCGUACCCCUGGCUCUCGGUCGACCUUCUCUCCCCCACCAUCUCGUCGCCGCAGCCACCACCCACGCCGGCUGGUUCCGGCGAUCUCCGGCCGCAUGCAACAUGCCCCCAAGCUCUGCCCCGCCCUCCCCUUCGCCAGAUCCAUGCCUCAAGGUCUGCACCCUUGCCCGCGGCUAGGGAUUCAGGCACCCCCGUGUUCUUGCCGCCGAGUGCCCAGGUCGGCCCGCUGGCCAACGAGCAGCACCCCGCACCUGCGCGUGCCCAGGCAGACGAGCAGUACGGGGAUUGGUCGCGGACGGAGACGAGUGCAGGCGCAGCAGCAGGAGAAGCUAUGGCGGCGACGGACUGGUGACCGCCGGGGCGGCUCGUCGUUCGUGGCCAGCCGGAGUCGCGGUGAGGCGCUGUCCUCCAUGGAUUCCGGUGGCUGGUUGACGGCCAAUUGCUCUUGGACGCCGCUGGAGCUGCUCGUUUCUGAAUUUUCAGUAAUGCCAAGUGCGUUUUCUGAAUUUUCCAGUCCGCGCGAUUGUGAUUCUCGUGUUGCUGAUAGCUUGGAGCAGUCGGUUCCGGUCCAUGUACUACUCGUGACUGGGAAGGAAGGAUCAUGUCGUUGAUAGUUCAGCUAAAAAGAAAAGCCACACGUGAAGAAAAUAAUGCGGCUGAGUUGAGUGACUGUAUGAUUGUCGCCACUGGAGUUACUGGCAAUCCGCUACUCACCCCAGUGUCCGGAAAAGCUGUUAAGAAUUUUAAAUCAAAGACUAAGAAAAAUAAAGCUGGGCCUCAGACACCUACGCCAAAUGUUGGCUCACCACUCAAUCCAUCAACUCCUGCUGGUACUUGCCGCUAUGACAGUUCGUUAGGAUUUGUGAGUUCCUAGAAGGGAACACAUAGACAUGAAGCUACGGCGGCGACGAAGACGAUAUCGACAUGGGGCUGCGGCGACGAUGAUGACGACGACAUCGACAUCGACACAGGGCUACGGCGGCGACAAAGACGACGACAUCGUCAUGGUGCUUUGGCGGCGGCGAUGACGACGACGACAUCAACACCAUCAACAUGGCCUUGUGGAGGCGCCGACGCCGACGACGUAGACACGUGGCAUAUAUAUUGUGUGUGUGUGCCUGCGCGCACAUGCGUGUGUGCGUGUGCGUGUGUUAAUUAUCUACAUCAGAUAUGUAUGAUUGAUGAUUGACUGUAUGCAUAACAUGUACGUAUUGUGAAAUGCAUGUCUAAACUGAAAUAGGUAGACUAUUAUUUUUUUUAAAUCCUAAUU